CGUUUUUUUCUCUUCUUCUUAUUCUAGAUCUGAUUUCAAGUUUCAAAGUCAUCGUUUUCCAAGAAAAACUCUAGAUUUGUGUAUGUAGAUGGUGUAGUUUCAGUAUCAUUUUUUAUUAUUAUGGAUAGCUGGAGAGGUAGGUACGUUUUUUUCCCUAUUUUUCCCUUUUUUCUAUGAUUUUUGUUUGAUUCAGAUUGGAUUGAUGUAAAUUUUUUUUUUUUAGUAUUCAUCAAUUUUGCGAUCUUACACUAUUUCUGAUUCGAUUUUCAGCUUAUGUUUCUUAUUGAAGCAUAGGAGAGUCUUAUAUUCCUUUUGAAACAGAUGGUGCUUUUUUUGGGCAUUCAUUAAUUUUGCAGCCGUAUUGUUCAUCAAUUUGUGUUUUUUAGGUUUUCUUAUUGAUUUUUUUUUAUUGUGAUUUUUGUCUAAGUUGGAUAGAUGUAAGAUUUUUUUUAACAGGUUUUCCACUAAUUUUAAAUUGACACUCUUUUUCUCUGAUUUCAAUUGAGUUUCUUCUUGAUCUAAUGGCCAUUUACAAAUGAAUCUGCAUGGAUGAAUUUCUUGGUUUAAUGGCCAUUUACAUGAAUCUGCACAAAUCUAGCCAAUUUGUUAUGUAAACUCUUGGAAUUGGCAAGGAAGACCUUAGGUGAAUUUGAUGCGUACCUCUCAAAAUAUAACAAAAUUAUUAUGUUUGAUGCAAAUGUGAUGGUCAUGGACCUCAUGGUCAUGGUCUCUUGAUUAAUCGGAAGGGGCUACAUUUAUGCCCUGGCAGGGAAGUCUAAGAUCAUGAAAGUAAAGAUUUAACUUGGUUUUAAUGAGAUUAAGACUAUGAUGGUGGCUGGUUGUGACGCCUUGAAGGUUACUCUAGGGUGGCGUGUUGUUGCUCAUGUAUAAACUAUCUCAUGCCGAAUGUUUUAUGUAUUUUUUUUAUGCAUUUGAGAAAGCAACAUAGAGUUUCAUUCAUUUUUGAUGUUUUAGACUUUUGCUUUUUAAUUUUCAUUAAUUCAUUAAACCUUGAAGGUGUUGGCACUGAAAUCAAUUAAAA